GAAACAAACAGCUAAAUCCAUUACAACGAAUAUGCUAUAACUUUGUCACGAAGGUAAAUAUGAUCAACUAGCAAUUAAAUAACAAAAAUUAAUAAUUUUUGCCUUUGUUUCUUCACGCUGAAGUCAGCAAAAGCUGUUAUAAACACACCAAUUUUCUACGUUCAGACAAAACAAACGAAGCUGGGAUCCGGUCUCCGAAGGAUGGUGAAAAAUUCAGCUGUUAUGAUGGUGGUUACUUGAGAAGCGGAAGAGUCUCCCGUGGGUUAUUGCCGGAGCUAUAUUCCAGUAACAUUGCUCUUUCAUCCUCUGUCUCCAGAAACUCCUUCUCCUUCCCCAUCUGUAAGAAAUUUAUUUGUUUCUGCCAAUAGAGAUACUAAAUACUAAACAAGUAACCUAAAUCUUAAAAGCAUGGAUUCUUGGUUCCAUUUUUCCUUUUUAAAUAUCCAGAUGACCAUCAUCAAUUUUCUUUACUAAAUCUGUUAGAAAUUUCCUCACAUACUACAAAACAUUAUCUAGGGUUUUUCUUAUAAACAGUUAUAUGCAAGUGUAUCUACCUAA